GCCUUCGUGGUGUAAUGGUUAGCGCACUCGGCGCGUAUUUUGAGAGGUCUAGGUUCGAGUCCUGGCGAGGACA
rfam:Stegodyphus mimosarum contig61024, whole genome shotgun sequence.